UGGGGAAUAUUGCACAAUGGGCGAAAGCCUGAUGCAGCGACGCCGCGUGAGGGAUGAAGGCCUUCGGGUCGUAAACCUCUUUCGGCAGGGACGAAGCGAUCAGUGACGGUACCUGCAGAAGAAGCCCCGGCUAACUACGUGCCAGCAGCCGCGGUAAGACGUAGGGGGCGAGCGUUGUCCGGAUUCAUUGGGCGUAAAGCGCGCGUAGGCGGCUACGCAAGUCGGUUGUGAAACCCCGGGGCUCAACCCCGGAACUGCAUCCGAUACUGCGUGGCUAGAGGUAGGUAGGGGAGAUCGGAAUUCCUGGUGUAGCGGUGAAAUGCGCAGAUAUCAGGAGGAACACCGGUGGCGAAGGCGGAUCUCUGGGCCUUACCUGACGCUCAGGCGCGAAAGCUAGGGGAGCGAACAGGAUUAGAUACCCCCGUAGUCC
rnacentral:rRNA from 1 species